rnacentral:rRNA from 1 species
UACGGGGGGGGCAAGCGUUGUUCGGAAUUACUGGGCGUAAAGGGCGCGUAGGCGGCCUUCUAAGUCGGACGUGAAAGCCCCAGGCUUAACCUGGGAACUGCGUCCGAUACUGGAAGGCUUGGAUUCGGGAGAGGGAUGUGGAAUUCCAGGUGUAGCGGUGAAAUGCGUAGAUAUCUGGAGGAACACCCGUGGCGAAGGCGGCUCUCUGGGACGGUACUGACGCUGAGGCGCGAAAGCGUGGGGAGCAAACGGGG